rnacentral:rRNA from 1 species
GGCUAGCGUUAUCCGGAUUUACUGGGCGUAAAGGGUGCGUAGGCGGUCUUUCAAGUCAGGAGUGAAAGGCUACGGCUCAACCGUAGUAAGCUCUUGAAACUGGGAGGCUUGAGUGCAGGAGAGGAGAGUGGAAUUCCUAGUGUAGCGGUGAAAUGCGUAGAUAUUAGGAGGAACACCAGUUGCGAAGGCGGCUCUCUGGACUGUAACUGACGC